rnacentral:tRNA from 1 species
GGAUCCUUAGCUCAGUUGGUAGAGCGUCCUCUUGACAUGGCGAAGGUCGCUAGUUCAACCCCAGCAGGAUCCACCA